rnacentral:rRNA from 1 species
AACGAACGCUGGCGGCAUGCCUAAUACAUGCAAGUCGAACGAGAUCUUCGGAUCUAGUGUCGCACGGGUGCGUAACGCGUGGGAAUCUGCCCUUGGGUGCGGACUAACUUCUGGAAACGGAAGCUAAUACCGGAUGAUGACGUAAGUCCACAGAUUUAUCGCCCUAGGAUGAGCGCGCGUAUCAUUCGCUAGUUGGUGGCGUAAAGGCGCACCAAGGCGACGAUCCUCAGCUGGUAUGAGAGAAUGAUCAGACACACUGGGAGUGAGACACAGCGCAGACUUCUACGGGAGGGAGGAGUAGGGAAUAUUGGAAAAUGGGGUGAGUGAUGAUGCAGCAAGGCCGGGUGAGUGAUUAAGGCCUUAGGGAUGUAAAGCUCGUUUACCCGGGAUGAUAAUGACAGUACCGGGAGAAUAAGCUCCGGCUAACUCCGUG